CAUUGUAUGAGGACCUCACCUUCUAAAGGUUUCCUCCCAAGAGAGCUGACGUGAUGACUGCUGAACUGCAGCAUUACACUGCUUUCUGCUAAAAGAGACCAACUGACAUUUACCUUUACGUGACCUUACAUGAAGAGCUUUAAACACCACAGCUUUAAACCACAGAACUCUGAAAAACAAAAACAGGAUGUCUGCUGUUAAAACUGGCGCUGUGUAUAUUUUUCCUGAGACUGUGCUAUCUGGGACCAGCUUGGUGUAAUCUUUCAAUAUAGUCCAUUGGCCAAAUUCUCUUUCCUGCUGGAAGGUUAACUCUGGUGUGCAUCACAGAAAAUAUUUUCAUGGUCAAUAGUUGUUGUCAUCACAAUCUGCAUAACAUGAAGACCAGAUGGAGGCAAAAAAAAUUCAAGGCUGAGAAAGUUAUGUUCACUGCUCUCCUUCACUCUUGCAAAGUUCCAGUACAGCAAAGGAGAGUCCAGAAAGAGACAAAUAUCAUUUGCAAAACUUCAUCUUAGUAACAACAAUAGCAAAAAAAUGAAUCACAUAUAGUGGAUGCUCUCCCAGACUCAACAAAAGGUAUCCAUUGCUCCUUAGUAAAGCAUACCAUGUCUCUUAUGGUGGCAGAACCUUUGCUCCUUUUGUUCCAGAAUCUCCUUUCAGUCUUGAAUAAUCAACAAACACUGGAUUUCCUGCAUGUGACAACUCCAGUUAGUAGUAGAAUGCACAAGUUAAUAGUCCCUGCCUCUAGUUUACUAUAGAUUGAAAUGCAGAGUCAAGGGCCAACAGAAUUUAUUCCUUUGUAAAGACAAACAUGUACCAAGGAAAACAAAAAGGUACAAACAGAAGACUCCAAAACGUAUGCAAGAUGAUGCCUCAACAACUUCCACAUUAAGGUUUCAUGUCCUAAGUCACCCUACAGGCCUUAUGUUGGAAGCAGUGGUGUUUUGUGUCACAGUUAGUUCUGUCCUGGGGAGGGUUCCUUCUCAGCCAAAUGAAC